GUAGGUGGCAAGCGUUGUCCGGAAUUAUUGGGCGUAAAGCGCGCGCAGGCGGGUCCUUUAAGUCUGAUGUGAAAGCCCACGGGCUCAACCGUGGAGGGUCAUUGGAAACUGGGGGACUAGAGUACAGAAGAGGAAAGCGGAAUUCCAAGUGUAGCGGUGAAAUGCGUAGAGAUUUGGAGGAACACCAGUGGCGAAGGCGGCUUUCUGGUCUGUAACUGACGCUGAGGCGCGAAAGCGUGGGGAGCAAACAGGAUUAGAUACCCUGGUAGUCCACGCCGUAAACGAUGAGUGCUAAGUGUUAGGGGGUUUCCGCCCCUUAGUGCUGCAGCUAACGCAUUAAGCACUCCGCCUGGGGAGUACGGCCGCAAAGGCUG
rnacentral:rRNA from 1 species